rnacentral:rRNA from 1 species
GACAGAGGGGGCAAGCGUUGCUCGGAAUCACUGGGCGUAAAGGGCGCGUAGGCGGGAUGGCAAGUCAGUCGUGAAAUCUCUCGGCUCAACCGAGAAACGUCGGCUGAUACUGCCGUUCUUGAGGGAUGCAGAGGAGACUGGAAUUCCCGGUGUAGCGGUGAAAUGUGUAGAGAUCGGGAGGAACACCGGUGGCGAAGGCGGGUCUCUGGGCAUUUCCUGACGCUGAGGCGCGAAAGCGUGGGGAGCAAACGGGG